GAUGAAGAACGCAGCGAAAUGCGAUAAGUAACGUGAAUUGCAGAAUUCAGUGAAUCAUCGAGUUUUUGAACGCAUAUUGCGCCCUCUGGUAUUCCGGGGGGCAUGCCUGUUCGAGCGUCAUUAAAUAACCCUCAAGCAUAGCUUGGUGUUGGGCUUUUUUACGUCCUUGACUGGGAUGGGCCUAAAAAUUAGUGGCGAUGGCUUUUUUACUUUCAAGCGUAGUAAAUCUCGUCUUGCUAAAGAGGAAAAAGAUUUUUUUUCUGCCAAAAAUUUUAACAUUUAAAGUUGACCUCGGAUCAGGUAGGAUUACCCGCUGAACUUAAGCAUAUCAAUAAGCGGAGGA
rnacentral:misc_RNA from 1 species